rnacentral:rRNA from 1 species
GACGAACGCUGGCGGCGUGCUUAAUACAUGCAAGUCGAGCGGACUUUCCGUAGUGCUUGCACUUCGGCAGGUUACCGGCGGACGGGUGAGUAACACGUAGGCAACCUGCCCCUAAGACCGGGCUAACAUUCGGAAACGCAUGUUAAUAACGGGUAGACGGACCUCUCGCAUGGGGGGGUCGGGAUUGGCGGAGUAAUCUGCCGCUCACGGCUGGGCCUGCGGCGCAUUAGCUGGUGGGUGGGGUAACGGUCUACCAAGGCGACGAGGCGUAGCCGACCGGAGAGAGUGGUCGGCGACACUGGGAGUGAGCCACGGCCCAGACUCCUGCGGGAGGCAGCAGUAGGGAAUCUUACGCAAUAGACGCGAGUCUGACAGAACGGCGCCACGUGAGUGGGAGAGACCUUCGGGUCGUGAUGCUCUGUUGCCGGGGAAGAACGGGUAGGGGAGGAACUGCCCUGGCCAUGACGGUACCGGGGAAAGAAGCACCGGCUAACUACGUG